rnacentral:rRNA from 1 species
CCUACGGGUGGCAGCAGUGGGGAAUAUUGGACAAUGGGCGCAAGCCUGACCCAGCAACGCCGCGUGAAGGAAGACGGCUUUCGGGUUGUUAACUUCUUUUCUCAGGGACGCAGAAAGUGACGGUACCUGAGGAAUAAGCCACGGCUAACUACGUGCCAGCCGCCGCGGUAAUGCGUAGGUGGCAGGUGUUAUCCGGCUUUCGUGGGUGUAACGGGCGUGUAGGGGGGAGCGCAAGGCAGAUGGGAAAACUCAGGGCCCAACCCUGAGUCCGCAUUUGACACUGGGUUUCUUGAGUGCUGGAGAGGCAAGCGGAAUUCGGGGUGUAGCGGUGAAAUGCGUAGAUAUACGGAGGAACACCAGUGGCGAAGGCGGAUUGCUGGACAGUAACUGACGCUGAGGCGCGAAAGCGUGGGGAGCGAACAGGAUUAGAUACCCGUGUAGUC